UCGAGCGAGAGGGAGUAGCAAUACUCUAGUAAAGCGGCGCACGGGUGAGUAACACGUGGGUAAUCUGCCUCGAAGUGGGGAAUAACACCGGGAAACCGGUGCUAAUACCGCAUAAUCUGACGGAGUCUGCGGAUUUUGUCAGCAAAGGAGCAAUUCGCUUUGAGAGGAGCCCGCGGCUGAUUAGCUAGUUGGUGAGGUAAUGGCUCACCAAGGCUACGAUCAGUAGCCGGUCUGAGAGGACGGUCGGCCACACUGGAACUGAGACACGGUCCAGACUCCUACGGGAGGCAGCAGUGGGGAAUUUUUCGCAAUGGGGGCAACCCUGACGAAGCAACGCCGCGUGGAUGAUGAAGUCUCUUGGGACGUAAAAUCCUUUCGACGGGGACGAAACCGCAAGGUUGACGGUACCCGUAGAAGAAGCCCCGGCUAACUCCGUGCCAGCAGCCGCGGUAAUACGGGGGGGGCAAGCGUUGUUCGGAAUUACUGGGCGUAAAGGGCGCGUAGGCGGCUCACUAAGUCGGAUGUGAAAACUCUGGGCUCAACCCAGAGCCUGCAUCCGAAACUGGUGGGCUAGGGUGCUGGAGGGGAUAGCGGAAUUCCUGGUGUAGCGGUGAAAUGCGUAGAUAUCAGGAGGAACACCGGUGGCGAAGGCGGCUAUCUGGACAGUAACCGACGCUGAGGCGCGAAAGCUAGGGGAGCAAACAGGAUUAGAUACCCUGGUAGUCCUAGCCCUAAACGAUGGAUACUUGCUGUGAGGGGGAUUGAAUCCCUUCGUGGCGAAGCUAACGCAUUAAGUAUCCCGCCUG
rnacentral:rRNA from 1 species